rnacentral:rRNA from 1 species
UAGGGAAUCUUCGGCAAUGGGGGCAACCCUGACCGAGCAACGCCGCGUGAGUGAAGAAGGUUUUCGGAUCGUAAAGCUCUGUUGUAAGAGAAGAACGUGUGUGAGAGUGGAAAGUUCACACAGUGACGGUAACUUACCAGAAAGGGACGGCUAACUACGUGCCAGCAGCCGCGGUAAUACGUAGGUCCCGAGCGUUGUCCGGAUUUAUUGGGCGUAAAGCGAGCGCAGGCGGUUUAAUAAGUCUGAAGUUGAAGGCAGUGGCUUAACCAUUGUUCGCUUUGGAAACUGUUAGACUUGAGUGCAGAAGGGGAGAGUGGAAUUCCAUGUGUAGCGGUGAAAUGCGUAGAUAUAUGGAGGAACACCGGUGGCGAGAGCGGCUCUCUGGUCUGUAACUGACGCUGAGGCUCGAAAGCGUGGGGAGCAAACAGG